UUUUCAAUUAAGUAUUCCUUAUUAAACUAAUUACUUAUAGGAAAUUUAUAAAUACAUUAUGAAAAGGAAAAAGGAAUAUACUUUUUACAUAGUUAACGCAACAAGGUUUGGAGGUUCUUGGUAUACUCGCUCCAAAAGGCGCGUGAACGGAGGAGCCCUCCGUCACCAGCAACCUUCUUCUCCCCCACUCCCCUCCCCCCCAUCAUUUCCCCAAAGGCCGAAAUUCAUACAUACAUACACAACACAAUGCCUCAUUUUAAUUCUAAAUAAAUAAAUAAAUAAUAAUUCAGUAAAUAAAUAAAUAAAUUUGAAAACAAAAUAGAGAAACCCCCGUUCUGCGUUUCUCUAACAUGCGCCAUAUGCUAUUCGCCACCAUCACCACCACCAUGCCCUCCUCAGCCGCCGCCACGUCAUCGUCCUCCCCAACCCCCAAACCCAAAUCCUCAAACCCUAACCCUAACGGAAACCCUAAUUGCACCCUCCUCUGCAAGCACUCGCCUUCUGCAACCCUCGACCUCCUAAUCCUCAUCCUCGUCCUCUUCUCCGGGACCUUCCUCAUCACCUCCUACUUCUCCUACAUCUUCAAUUCCCUCUCUCUCCUCCUCUCCCACUCUAGCAUUCACCUCCACCACAUUCCGGUCCCUUAUGUCGUCGGCUUCGUCGCUUUUUUUGCCGUCGCGCUGUUCAUAGUCGAAUUUUGCUGUGGCACUAGAUCGAGAAAGUGCGACAGGCCUGGGUGCAAGGGUUUGAAAAAAGCCAUGGAAUUCGAUUUGCAAUUGCAGACCGAGGAGUGUGUGAAGACCGGGUCAAAAGAUAUCGAUAAGCUGCCGUGGAAGGGCGGGAGCGAGGGCAAUCCCGAUUACGAGUGUCUCAGGUCUGAGCUGAGGAAGAUGGCGCCCCCCAAUGGCCGCGCCGUUCUGCUGUUUCGGGCGCGAUGCGGGUGCCCCGUGGCCAAGCUCGAAGGUUGGGGUCCCAAGCGAGGACGCCGGCAUAAGAAGGUAUUGCCAGGUGUCUUGAAUUCCAAAGGGCUGUAGAGGUAGAGAUUAGAUAGAUAUCCAUGCAUGAACCUUGAUCUCAUUAUUCGGAGAUGGUCGCAGACUCUAUGCUCUGGUUACCUGUUUAUAGUCAUCUGCAGAACUUUAACAUGUAGGGCUCUUGCCAGUAUGGUUCCUAAUGGAGGAGACAAUCGCUGAUUGUUCGGGAUGCUUUCGCCACCAGAGCUCCCUUUACAUGUUCUAUCAUUUACCUGUUAGAUUAUAGAUGUUCUUUUUUUUUUUUUUUUUUUUUUGGUCUGUACUUCACCCUCAAUCGAAACAAUUCUUUUUCUUUGAUCAUAUAUUCUGGUGGCGCACACGCAUAUGUCUGAAACAAACUUGUCUAGAGAAGCAUCAUUUCGAGCGAUUUCUCACAUUUGGAAGGAUAUAACAAAUUUAAUGAGAAUAAAUAUAUGAAAUGUCAAUUGGAUAUUUAUUUGACGUUAAAUCUAUCAUCCUCUCUACCAUGCUUGCCGAGCUAAA